rnacentral:lncRNA from 1 species
UGACAGAGAAUGAGAUGGUUGGAUCGCAUCACCGGCUCAAUGGACAUGAGUUUGGGUAACUCCAGGAGUUGGUGAUGGCCAGGCAUGCUGCAAUUCAUGGGGUCACAAAGAGUCAGAAUCGACUGAGUGACUGAACUGAACUGAACUGAACUGAUUCUGACCAGUGUGAGAUGAAAAAAUAUCAGACACUUCACAAAGUUUUGCAUGUCAUCCUUGUCCAGAGGCCAUGCUAAUCUUCUCUUUAUUAUUCCAAUUUGGGAUAUUUGUGCUGCUGAAGCAAGCACAAGAUAGUUUCUUUUAAAUUGCCUAUAUUUUCCUGCCAACUGGAUUAGAAAAGCAAGCUCUGUUCUUUUUUAAUCAAUUUAUGUUUCUCUUUUUAUCUCAGUGUUUCAGCCAUACCCCACUCCCCAUCAAUCUGCUCAAAAAAAAUUAUAGUACAUUUUAUUGUUCACAAUAGCUACCAAAGAAUCAUUUAUUGACCAAGUACACAGUCCCUAACUCUGAAGAGCCAAACAAUUUAAAAGAAUCCUUAACUUUCUGGGGCUGAACAAUUAGGAGAAAUUCAAGGAUAUGUGAGAAGACAGAUGCUGUCUUGACGAUCAUUUUCAGGUUUUAUUCAUUAUUCAUAUCAUUCUAUCUAGUUCCUUUUACUCUUUAUGUAAAUCUUUUGAAAGGUUUUGGUGUUUGUGGUUUGUGGGCUUGGGAUCAACUUGAAUCUGUAUUGGUCUUGUGAUAACUAAAGGCUAACAUGUUGCUUUAAAGUUGCCAUGACAACGGACAAAAUAAAGAACUGAUUAUGACAUGUUUGUGGGACACCUUUCACAGGAAAGAGGCAAGGGGCAGAUGGCAGCAGACUGGGACACAGAGAAGAGCACCACAAGGGUCAAGGUAUACAUCUAAGCAAAACAACAACUCAAGAUCAUGGCACAUGACUGCAGAACAGCAAAUAUUGAUCAGGGAACACAGCCAGCUGACUUCUUAUGUGAACGGGAGCCAGAAAAACCAGAGAGCUCCAAACUAAGCUUCUGCACGGACAGAGCACGGGAGAAAAUGGAACUACAAUUGGAGGGGCUGCCGAGUUCAACCACUACAGAAGAUAACACUUUGAGGCGAUCCAGCAGCGCCCCUUUGAUCAGUGGCCUUGGUGAUAGUUCACAAGUGUUACGAUCUGAUUCAAUAACAACUCGAAGAAACAGUGCAACAUGUAUGACACAACACAGUCUGAAGAACAACGAGGUACAGAAACCAUCUUCUGCAAACUGCACUGAUUUAAUUCCAGCAUCUGCAGCAGCUUCUCUCACCGAGGUGACUGGCAAGAAGAAGUCAAAGUGCCGCCAGUACUAUUAGAUCAAGUGUCCUUGGCCCAUUAAAAGGAAAAGGUGAAAUGACAUCUGAACACCAUCCAAAGAGAAUUUUCCAAGGCACAACCACCAUGCUUUCUUCUGAUACUAAUCCUAGUGUUUGAUAGGAAUAUGUG